AACCAUUCUCACCUGCGGCUAGACCUGCGGAAGGAUCAUUACCGAGUUUACAACUCCCAAACCCAUGUGAACAUACCUAUCGUUGCUUCGGCGGGAUCGCCCCGGGCGCCUCGUGUGCCCCGGAUCCGGCGCCCGCCUAGGAACCUUAACUCUUGUUUUAUUUUGGAAUCUUCUGAGUAGUUUUUACAAAUAAAUAAAAACUUUCAACAACGGAUCU
rnacentral:misc_RNA from 1 species